UACGUAGGGGGCAAGCGUUGUCCGGAUUCAUUGGGCGUAAAGGGUGCGUAGGCGGCGCGGUAAGUCGGGUGUGAAAUCUCGGAGCUUAACUCCGAAACUGCAUUCGAUACUGCCGUGCUUGAGGACUGGAGAGGAGACUGGAAUUUACGGUGUAGCGGUGAAAUGCGUAGAUAUCGUAAGGAAGACCAGUGGCGAAGGCGGGUCUCUGGACAGUUCCUGACGCUGAGGCACGAAGGCCAGGGGAGCAAACGGG
rnacentral:rRNA from 1 species